rfam:Salmo salar isolate Sally breed double haploid chromosome ssa23, whole genome shotgun sequence.
CUCCCUGUGGCUCAGUUGGUAGAGCAUGGUGUUUGCAACGCCAGGGUUGUGGGUUCGAUUCCCACGGGGGGGC